rnacentral:misc_RNA from 1 species
GUUUAACACAGUACCAUGGAAAGCAACUUCAAUUUUCUUUUCUUCUUUCCUUUGCCUUUGGCCACCAACACAAGGCAAAGCUACAUUGCAAAGACGACUUUGAAGGGUACUCAAGGUUCAAGAAUUAUGGUGGUCUAGUCGCAAGCUAGACUCCUCCUCCCUUUCCUUUGUAAACCAAAAACAGCCAAGGGAAAUUCACCCCACAGGCCACAGGCAUCCUCGAGGAGCAAAUGAAUGACUUAUGGAAGAUACGAGAGCUGGUCUUU